rnacentral:rRNA from 1 species
GAAAACAAGAGGAGGGCGGACGGGGGAGUAGGUAGGGUGGGGGGGUUAAUGUGAAUUACUGGGGUGAAAGCGUGGGCAGGCGGUUGUUUAAGACAGCUGUUAAAUCCCCGGGCUCAACCUGGGAACUGCGGUUGUGACUGCACGGCUAGAGGACGGCAGAGGGGGGUGGAAUGCCUGGGGUAGCAGUGAAAUGCGUAGAGAUCAGGAGGAACAUCGAUGGCGAAGGCAGCCCCCUGGGCCGCUACUGACGCUCAUGCACGAAAGCGUGGGGAGCAAACAGGAUUAGAUACCCCUGUAGUC